rnacentral:rRNA from 1 species
AACGAACGCUGGCGGCAUGCCUAACACAUGCAAGUCGAGCGAGACCUUCGGGUCUAGUGGCGCACGGGUGCGUAACGCGUGGGAACCUGCCCUUAGGUUCGGAAUAACUCCCCGAAAGGGGUGCUAAUACCGGAUAAUGUCUUCGGACCAAAGAUUUAUCGCCUUUGGAUGGGCCCGCGUUGGAUUAGCUAGUUGGUAGGGUAAAAGCCUACCAAGGCAACGAUCCAUAGCUGGUCUGAGAGGAUGAUCAGCCACACUGGGACUGAGACACGGCCCAGACUCCUACGGGAGGCAGCAGUGGGGAAUAUUGGACAAUGGGCGAAAGCCUGAUCCAGCAAUGCCGCGUGAGUGAUGAAGGCCUUAGGGUUGUAAAGCUCUUUUACCCGGGAUGAUAAUGACAGUACCGGGAGAAUAAGCUCCGGCUAACUCCGUG